GGGGAAUUAACUCAGCUGGUAGAGUGUAUCCUUGACGUGGAUAAAGUCGUGGGUUCGAGUCCCUCAUUCCCCA
rnacentral:tRNA from 2 species